CUGCUCUCCAAGGAACUGCUUCCAAAGCUAGCCACGGUAUUGCAAUCAGGAGACGCACGAUGCCGAUAGUGUUUGCUGCUUCUACCAUGAUUUCUGCGUGAAUUACAACAGAUUUCUUAAUGCAAGAGAAAAAAUGAAUAUAAUAAGCAGUGUAUCAUUUGUUAAAUGUUGGAUGAUGCAUGUAUUAUUUGGCAAACAAGCAGAAUGUAUUCAAAGCAGAUUUUAAAAUAGGGAAAGCAGAAAGAAUAUAAGAUAGAAGGAAUAAAGAUAAGAUGUUUAAAUUCUCUUAGAACUUUUGAUAAGUAUCAAAGCAUGUAUUAACUACUGAAUCAAAAGAAGACUACGAGACAGCAAACUUUACUCGAAGUUUCCAUCCUCUAAUAAAAAGCGAGACGGUGUAUUAUUCUAUACAAAUGAGCGAGCGUACAUAAGGACAGUCGUCUGAUACUAAGGGAGGUGCAUGAUCCGAGUGCGUUCGAAGGAUACCUUCGAUAUUCGUAAGCUGGUGAACGAGCUAUCGCUAUCUGUGCACAUUAUAAACGUUGCUCGUUUACCUUGACUAGUAUUCACUCGCGAGGGUGGCGCAUGGCGGUUGUGGUGGUGAUGAUUGAUGUAGUGGCGGGCGAUGGUUGCGUGGAGGGUGAGGGCGAUGGUGGUGGGCUAUAUAUAUAUAGGAUUUAUCGUCUGGUUUGUAACUAGAGUGAAGGAUUGGAGAAAUAACCAGCGCGAUGGGCCGCUGAGAGACCAAAGGAGUAAGGGUGAUCGGUGCCACGGCGAGCUGUCAAAUCGCGGCGCCCCAGGUGCUGGUCGGGGAAGGGCAGGGCCAGUAGCGUAUACCAACGCGAGGGCAUCCCGGUAUCACCCCUUCCAAGGCCACCACUACCGCCACCCCUCAACGCACCAACCCCACCAAGCCCCCUGCGGCGCCGUCCUCUGACGCUGCCACUGCCGCUAGCCACCGCAACGCAAACGGGCUCAGUGUUAAUUUCUCAUUCCAAUUUCCUUCGAUCAGUGUUCUUUUCUCUCGACACUUUAUUUUGUUUUUUUUGUUUUUUUGCCUGCACUUUCAUACAUUCGAUUUUGUACCAUUAAUCAUUGGCGUAUCUAGGCAGGGGCUGAAGUAGGCCUGAACCCUCCAAAAUGCAAAUUGCUCCCCCUGACAAAAAUCCUAGUUACGCCAAUGCCUUCAACCCUUUCGUUGCAGAAUUUGUUUUAUACCACUUAUAUAAUUGGUAGGAAAGUUAUUGAUAGCAAUGAAAGGGUUAAUCAGAGUUUUCCGCAUAGAAUAUAUUUCACGUCACUUCUUUCAACGCUUUCGCUGUGAAGAGUAGAAUGUUAUUGUAAGUCAUAGAACGUUAUUGUAUAUCGUAGCAAAAUAGAAUAUUUUAAUAUCAUUUAUAAAUUGAGCAUCAAUGAAUACAAUUCAAGUAAGGAACGUUGACUUUUAUACAUUUUCCUUUGUAAAGACUGUUCGUGUAAUAACCUUUGUUACACUACUUACAAUAUUCGAAAUAAGUAGAUUACAGUAUUUGAAUAGAGGAGAUCGCGCGAUUAGUUAGGAAAAAAGAUAAGAUGAUAGACGAAAGAAUAGAGAAAUAAGUAUAAAGAAAGCAAUACAGUAUACACACUUAGAGUCAAGGAGCAAAUGUACUGUAUAUGUAUAAAGCUAGAUAUGUUUCAUCUGGUCAAGAAAUAGUGUCUGUUAGAAAAGUUGCAAACAAUAGAAUUUAUAAAGAAAAAUGAUAUAUCAACAAAAAGGGGAACAAACACUAUCUCCAGAGCAAUAUUUGAUAUUUUAUAAUCACAGUAGAACUCAUAAAAAUAUAGACAACACUAUGCUGUCAUUUAAUUUCCCGAUUACUUUAAUGAUAUGU